rnacentral:lncRNA from 1 species
CUUUCCUUAGAAUGAGGACCCUGCUCAGUUGCCCCCUCCCAGUCAUGUGGUGAGUACUGGGAGGAGGGGAGAGUCCAGGCCUCUGGCUGGUAUGGUGGGAUUCCACGGAAUUGGGGUCUACAUCUCCCAGAUUUUAAAGGGUAGAUGCCCAAGGACUCGGAAUGGACUUCCUUCUUACAACUCCACCCCAUCUGCUUCCUCAGAAAAGUUCAUCGUCUAAUUACACCUGCUUCCUGCCCUUCUCAACAUGAAACAUAAUCACCAACACAAGGGCAAUUAGAUGGCCAGGCACCAAGGAAAAUGAUUCCCUGGGCCAAUCCUCACCACAACCCUAGGAGGCCCUGGCAUCCUUGCUACUGUCUGCCUCUGUGAACAUGACUACUCUAGGUACCUCAUGUAAGUGGAAUCACACAAUAUUUGUCUUUUUAUGACCGACUCACACGUCCUCAAGGUUCAUCCGUGUUGGAGACUGUGUCAGAAUUUCCUAGAGUUAGAGUUUUGCAAGAUGGAAGGCGUUCUGAAGAUGGAUGGUAGUAA